AAGGUUUGGUCCCAGCCUUGAAGUCAGUUCUUAUAUAAUAUACACAUGCAAGUCUCCGCACCCCUGUGAAAACGCCCUCACUUUCCCCAAACAGGAAACAGGAGCCGGUAUCAGGCACAACUUUUUGCCCAUAACACCUAGCCUAGCCACACCCACAAGGGACUUCAGCAGUGAUUAACAUUGAGCAUAAGCGACAGCUUGACUCAGUUAAACUAAACAGAGCCGGCCAAUCUGGUGCCAGCCGCCGCGGUUACACCAUGUGGCUCAAAUUGACUUCUAUCGGCGUAAAGCGUGAUUAAAGGAUAGAUUUUUGGAGUUAAAUUAAAAUUAAGCUGUGACACGCUUCUUGUUUAAGAAAAUCAUAUGCGAAAGCUACCCCAACACCGCUAACUUGAAUUCACGACAACUGAGAAACAAACUGGGAUUAGAUACCCCACUAUGCUCAGUCGUAAACUUUAAUUUACAUUUUUUCCUCGCCUGGGAACUACGAGCAAAGCUUAAAACCCAAAGGACUUGACGGUACCCCAUAUCCACCUAGAGGAGCCUGUCCUAUAAUCGAUAACCCCCGUUCUACCUCACCAUUUUUUGUUAAUCAGUCUGUAUACCUCCGUCGUCAGCUUACCACGUGAGCGUCAGUGAGCUUAAUGUUUCUUCAACCACACGUCAGGUCAAGGUGCAGCAAAUAAAAUGGAAAGAGAUGGGCUACACUCUCUACUUUAGAAAAUACAAAAAACUUAAUGAAACUCAGUUAGAAGGCGGAUUUAGUAGUAAAAUAAAACCAGAGCGUUUAUUUAAACACGGCACUGGGGUGUGUACACACCGCCCGUCACCCUCCUCAAUGCUACAAAAUAGUAUUUUACAUUCUUUAGCUUCACAGAAGAGGCAAGUCGUAACAUGGUAAGUACACCGGAAGGUAUGCUUGGAAU
rnacentral:ncRNA from 1 species